AUGCCAGCAGCCCUUCUCAUCUCAGGACCGUGUAAAAUUUGUGAUCUACCAGCUCACGGAAACCAUUUCGGUGUGCUCAGUUGCCGAGCUUGCGCCGCAUUUUUCAGAAGAGCUUCUCGAAGUCCUCGGUUUCAAGAUAAAGCCUGUGAAUAUGGGGAUUGCCGGAUUUUUGAUGCUGGAGCAUAUCGCUGUAAAAUUUGCCGACUGAAAAAGUGCUACAAAGUCGGAAUGGACGCAAGUAAAUUUCAAAAGGACCGUGACCUUAUUUCAAGCUCCAAUGCAUACCUUAAACGCACGAAAGUUUAUGCUCCACAAAGUUUGGCAAACUUUCUCGGGCGGCCCGAAUUCAUAAUAAGUUUCGAGCCCGAAAAGGCUUCUCCUUUCAAGACAGUGAUAGAUGUGACGGAUUUGGUUCACAAAGCUGCAGAAAUUUUCCAGGAGGUAAAGGUUAUUUUUUGGCACAAGCCGACACUUCACGGGCCAAUUGAUGUUUUUUUCGCAUCAAAUUUUGCCGUCCUGUAAUUUGUCGGUUGCUCGCUAUUGUGCAAUUUUAAGGACCUAGCCAACUCACCAAUGCCCUACAAAUACAGCAAUAGCCUGGAAAAGCUCACAUUGGAAAUGGAAGACUUGCGGUUAAGAAGCUCAAAUCAUAAAGUAAAAAUUGUGCGGAAUAUUGGGAAAGCUGAAUCGCUUGUCUUUUUCGAGCAAAUGUUCUUGGCGACCGCGAACUGGUACGCAAGACUUCCAGAUUUUACAAGUCUGGAUCUUCGUGUUAAGCUGGAAAUACUAAAAUCCACGUGGAUGCUUUGGAUUCGACUGAACAAGCUAGCUGAAACAGCACAAAAUCAAAGAAUUAAAGAAAUGGGUGCAAACAUUUUUAUGUGCUCAGAAAACACUUGUCUGAAUGUGCAGGAUAUCAAUGUUGACUGGAGCUGGUGUACCAAUUACGGUGCAGAGCAAAUGCAAGCAUUCCUAAUGCCAAAUAUUGAUAAGCAUUGGAGACAGCCAGUGGAAGACCUCGUGAAGCUCAACCCAACAGAUAUGGAGCUCAACUUCAUGCUCAUUCAACUCUGCCUUAACGAUGCUGGCAAGAAAUUUCAAGGACGUGUCCUAGAGGCAACUGAUAAGCUCUUGCAAAUCAAUGCAGAUAAUUUGCAUAAUUAUUAUACCAAAAAGUUGAACAUGCCAUCAUACUCUGGACGAUUGACAAAACUGAUGAAAAUCAACCAAAUUGUCGAGGAAGAUGUGAGGGAGAGAAAGGAAAAAGCGAAGAUUGUCGAAGUUUUUGACCUGUUUUCAAUUGUUUAUUCGCAUCCGGAAAUGUUUGAGGGCACUUGA